rnacentral:lncRNA from 1 species
CUUAAACAACCGAUAUUUAUUUUCCCACAGUUCUAGAGGCUGUAAAUCCAAGGUCAAAGUGCUCCUCUGAGGACCAUGAUGGAAGGAUCUGUUCUAGGCCUCUCUUCUUGGCUUAUAGAUGGUUGCCUUCUCACAGCUCUAUCUUCACACAGUUGUACUUCUGUGCAUACAUGUAGCUGAUUUUUACCCCUUUCUAAAUUUUAUUUUAUAUGGACACCAUUUUUUUGGAUUAGGACCCACCCCGAGGGCCUCAUUUUAAAUGAAUUCUUAUUUAAAACAUCCCAAUAUGGUUACUUUCAGAAAUACUAGGCUUUAGAAUUUCACCAUAUGAAUUUUGGGAGAGAGGAGCACAGUUCAGCCCAUAACUAACACACGACGGAAUGAAGUUGAUAAUAGUGAGACCUUGUUGGUACAAGACUAUGUAACAUAACCUGCGCUUCUCAACAAAGAAUUGCUUUUCUGACUUCUGCACUCAACUACUCAACAUGAAGGCAAUAAGAAUGAAGACCUCUAUGUAUAAUAAUUGACUUCCACUUAAUAAAUACCUGAACAGAUGUUGAGUACAAGCUGAUCCACCUACGUUCAACCUGAGAGAGUCCACAUCCACAGACUGUUUCAUUUCCCUUUUUCAAUUUACAUAGAAGCAUAGAUUCUUGCUGGCAUAUACAAAUGCGCCAUUUAAGGCAAUCAAAAAUGGUUCCACAUCUCAUCUGAUUUCCACAAUUGUUGCUGUAACGAUGGACUACUGAGGAGAGAGACAAUUUCUCUGGCACAUCUUCCCACAUUUUAGCAACAUGUUCAUGGAGAGCCAAUAUUCAGUAAUUACAGCCCAAUUCCUCACAAUUUCACAAUUCGCUAACAAUAUGCAUUUUCACAAUGUAAAGCUGAUUUUCCUUUAACCAAAUCAAACAUGAAAAGAUAGCUGCAUGCAAUGGGCAAUCUAGAUCAUUAGAAGAUUGAUGUAAAAUUAGAGGACACUGAGACUGGAAUAGAUUGCAAACUUCAGGGAGCUCAGAAAACUUGUAAACUCUACAUUUUGAGGAAAUAUGUUGUCGAUGCUUUUGCAACUCUAUGCAGUAACUUAACAAAUAAAGCCUUAAAGUAACUUAUCUACGAGUUACUUUGUCAUUAUUUGCAACUAUUUCACAUCAUACAGCUUCUC